GUUAUCUAAGAGCCUUCUCAAAGUGUUAUGAUUAUUGUAGACUAAAAUCCUCCUAGUGGAAAAGGAACAUAGCAAAAAGGAGAGAGAGAUAACCAACUUUUGCCAGCCAGUUCCUGAGCAGCAGCCCCUGGCCAGCUUUCUCCCAGGUUUAUAUGCUGAUUAUGACACCAUAAGGUAUGGAACAUCCCUUUGUACAGUGGGGGUCAGCUGUCCUGGCUGUGUCCUCUCCGAGCUUAUUGUGCCCUCCAGCCCCUCUCAUUGGUGGGGUGAGGUGACAAGCUGAAAAGCUCUUUACUCUCUGUAAACACUGCUUAGCAACCUCUAAAUCAUCAGUGUGUUAUCAACAUUAUUCUCAUCCCAAAUCCAAAGCAGAGCACUGUACCAGCUAGGAGGAAAACUCCAGUGGAAACCAGGACACUGCAUCAUGCAGAAAAUGGGAUUUGGUGUAUGCUGGUGUGAGUGGCAGAAAUGUGCAAAAAUUCAGUGAGCAUCAGACAACUUCUGAGAACAAGUUUUCAGUGUUUUCAUUUAGAUGAUGGUUUUCAUAAGGACUUCAAAAAUAGAUGAA